AUUAGACGAAUGUCUGCCAGAUCUGCUUUAUACUAAGUAUUGUCUUCUCUUUUUUUAUUACAGAACAUCACCGUUCCUAUUCCAUACCAGUGGUAGUUGGUGUAUUGUUGUUCGUGGCCAUAAUUGCAGUUUUGGGAGGGAUUUUGUUGUGGUACAUCAGGAACCGUAAACAAACAGCACAAACUGUUGAAAAUGAAGACAUACAUUAUGCUACAGCAACAUUCAUUGCACAUCCUUUACACCAUACGAAACCUGAUGGAGAAGAUAGCAUAGUGUACUCAAGUGUUGCAGCACCUAAGAAGCACAAUUUGCAAUAUUUGUGAUGUUUUGUCUUAAAAACGAAAAAAAAAAUCUAACUGCCAUAUAGAGCAGUGUUUCUCAACUGAAACUGGUGAUUCAUGAACACAAUAUUUUGGGAUAUAUGUGAGGGAUGCAAUGUUGCAUGCAGAUAUUAAAAUGCAGCAUGCAAAAGUUAAAUCUUUUUUUUUAAACCUAUGACAAGUGAUUUGGAAAAUGGAAUGAUUUAGAAACUAAAAUAGCUAUCAUAUUCAGCCCAUUUCAUGUUAAUAAUUGAUUUGCAGCUCAUUGUAAUAUUAAUCCAUUUCAGCAUUUGAUCGUAUUUUAGUAGUAUUACUGUCACUUUAGUAUUAUUAGCAAUUUGGGUCAAAUGUCUGAUGUAAAACUUGCUCCCUCGAAUGAAACCAGUUGAGAACCACUGAGGCAGAACACAAAUGUAUUAUUUUUUUGUUAUUUAUUUCCACACUGCCAUUUCAUUAUUGUGUUAUUCAUCAAACAUCAAAUAAAAGUCAGACUUUCAGCUGAGUUUUCGAAGACCAUUACUGACAGAUAACAGUACGAGGAGCCAUGGACUGUAUUUUAGCGAUUUCCUUUUGACACUUUGAGACACUCUGGUAGCUCUUGAACUAAUAUGUCUUAAAAAGGUCUGAGAAAGAGUGGAUUCAGUAACAGCUUCAUAAUGCACAAGAACUGCCUACAUAGCUACAUAGUUAACUUGUCUUGACUUGAUCGCUUGAGCUCAUGCUACAGCUGCCUUAAACUUUCAGUGUUUGUGUAUUUUAUAUUUCAGCAUUAUUUCAUGAACAUUGUACUGAAUGAAAUAAACGUGUGUUAACAAUGUUGUUACGAAUGUUAUGCUUUAUGCAGUUUUAAGUAGUUAAGUGGUUUUUAAUAUUUAAUCACUUUUCAGAGUAUAUUCUGGAACAUAAAGCAAAUCUAGUCUCUGAAAGCUUUUA
rnacentral:lncRNA from 1 species